rnacentral:tRNA from 1 species
CAAGAUGUAGUUUAUAAAAACGUUAAUUUUGGGGAUUAAAGUAAUUAAUUUUAAUUUUCUUGA